ACGUAGGGCGCAAGCGUUGUCCGGAAUUAUUGGGCGUAAAGAGCUCGUAGGCGGUCUGUUGCGUCUGCUGUGAAAACCCGGGGCUUAACCCCUGGCUUGCAGUGGAUACGGACAGACUAGAGGUAGGUAGGGGAGAAUGGAAUUCCCGGUGUAGCGGUGAAAUGCGCAGAUAUCGGGAGGAACACCGGUGGCGAAGGCGGUUCUCUGGGCCUUACCUGACGCUGAGGAGCGAAAGCGUGGGGAGCGAACAGG
rnacentral:rRNA from 1 species